rnacentral:lncRNA from 1 species
UUUUGAGAAUUGUGGUUGCCCUCCAUUGAUGAAGCUCUUGUUGGCACCAUAAAUUGAUUUUACUUCACACUGUCUUGAUCAAGAGUGUGUGAAGCUUUUGAGAAUUGUAGUUGCCCUUCAUUGAUGAAGCUUUUGCUGGCACCAUAAAUUGGUUUUGCUUCACACUGUCUUAAUCAAGAGUGUGUGAAGCUUUUGAGAGUUGUGGUUGAACUCAUUUAAUGAAGCUCUUGUUGGCACCAUAAAUUUGUUUCGCUUCACACUGUCUUGAUCAAGAGUGUGUGAAGCUUUUGAGAAUUGUGGUUGCCCUCCAUUGAUGAAGCUCUUGUUGGCACCAUAAAUUGGUUUUUCUUCACACAGUUUUGAUAAAGAGUAUGUGAAACUUUUGAGAAUUGUGGUUGCCCUCCAUUGAUGAAGCUCUUGUUGGCACCAUAAAUUGAUUUUGCUUCACACUGUCUUGAUCAAGAGUGUGUGAAGCUUUUGAGAAUUGUAGUUGCCCUUCAUUGAUGAAGCUUUUGUUGGCACCAUAAAUUGGUUUUGCUUCACACUGUCUUGAUCAAGAGUGUGUGAAGCUUUUGAGAAUUGUGGUUGAACUCCUUUGAUGAAGCUUUUGUUGGCACCAUAAAUUGGUUUUGCUUCACACUAUCUUGACAAGAGUGUGUAAAGCUUUUGAGAAUUAUGGUUACCCUCCAUUGAUGAAGCUCUUGUUGGCACCAUAAAUUGAUUUUGCUUCACACUGUCUUGAUUAAGAGUGUGUGAAGCUUUUGAGAAUUGUGGUUCCCUCCAUUGAUGAAGCUCUUGUUGGCACCAUAAAUUGAUUUUGCUUCACACUGUCUUGAUUAAGAGUGUGUGAAGCUUUUGAGAAUUGUGGUUCCCUCCAUUGAUGAAGCUCUUGUUGGCACCAUAAAUUGGUUUUGCUUCACACUGUCUUGAUCAAGAGUGUGUGAAGCUUUUGAGAAUUGUGGUUGCCCUCCAUUGAUGAAGCUCUUGUUGGCACCAGAAAUUGAUUUUGCUUCACACUGUCUUGAUCAAGAGUGUGUGAAGCUUUUAAGAAUUGUAGUUGCCCUUCAUUGAUGAAGCUUUUGUUGGCACCAUAAAUUGGUUUUGCUUCACACUGUCUUAAUCAAGAGUGUGUGAAGCUUUUGAGAGUUGUGGUUGAACUCAUUUAAUGAAGCUCUUGUUGGCACCAUAAAUUUGUUUUGCUUCACACUGUCUUGAUCAAGAGUGUGUGAAGCUUUUGAGAAUUGUGGUUGCCCUCCAUUGAUGAAGCUCUUGUUGGCACCAUAAAUUGGUUUUUCUUCACACUGUUUUGAUCAAGGGUAUGUGAAACUUUUGAGAAUUGUGGUUGCCCUCCAUUGAUGAAGCUCUUGUUGGCACCAUAAAUUGAUUUUGCUUCACACUGUCUUGAUCAAGAGUGUGUGAAGCUUUUGAGAAUUGUAGUUGCCCUUCAUUGAUGAAGCUUUUGUUGGCACCAUAAAUUGGUUUUGCUUCACACUGUCUUGAUCAAGAGUGUGUGAAACUUUUGAGAAUUGUGGUUGAACUCCUUUGAUGAAGCUUUUGUUGGCACCAUAAAUUGGUUUUGCUUCACACUAUCUUGAUCAAGAGUGUGUAAAGCUUUUGAGAAUUAUGGUUACCCUCCAUUGAUGAAGCUCUUGUUGGCACCAUAAAUUGAUUUUGCUUCACACUGUCUUGAUUAAGAGUGUGUGAAGCUUUUGAGAAUUGUGGUUGCCCUCCAUUGAUGAAUCUCUUGUUGGCACCAUAAAUUGAUUUUGCUUCACACUGUCUUGAUCAAAAGUGUGUGAAGCUUUUGAGAAUUGUGGUUGCCCUCCAUUGAUGAAGCUCUUGUUGGCACCAUAAAUUGAUUUUGCUUCACACUGUCUUGAUCAAGAGUGUGUGAAGCUUUUAAGAAUUGUAGUUGCCCUUUAUUGAUGAAGCUUUUGUUGGCACCAUAAAUUGGUUUUGCUUCACACUGUCUUAAUCAAGAGUGUGUGAAGCUUUUGAGAGUUGUGGUUGAACUCAUUUAAUGAAGCUCUUGUUGGCACCAUAAAUUUGUUUUGCUUCACACUGUCUUGAUCAAGAGUGUGUGAAGCUUUUGAGAAUUGUGGUUGCCCUCCGUUGAUGAAGCUCUUGUUGGCACCAUAAAUUGGUUUUUCUUCACACUGUUUUGAUCAAGAGUAUGUGAAACUUUUGAGAAUUGUGGUUGCCCUCCAUUGAUGAAGCUCUUGUUGGCACCAUAAAUUGAUUUUGCUUCACACUGUCUUGAUCAAGAGUGUGUGAAGCUUUUGAGAAUUGUAGUUGCCCUUCAUUGAUGAAGCUU